rnacentral:rRNA from 1 species
UUGGUGAGGUAAUGGCUCACCAAGGCGACGACGGGUAGCCGGCCUGAGAGGGCGACCGGCCACACUGGGACUGAGACACGGCCCAGACUCCUACGGGAGGCAGCAGUGGGGAAUAUUGCACAAUGGGCGAAAGCCUGAUGCAGCGACGCCGCGUGAGGGAUGACGGCCUUCGGGUUGUAAACCUCUUUCAGCAGGGAAGAAGCGAAAGUGACGGUACCUGCAGAAGAAGCGCCGGCUAACUACGUGCCAGCAGCCGCGGUAAUACGUAGGGCGCAAGCGUUGUCCGGAAUUAUUGGGCGUAAAGAGCUCGUAGGCGGUCUGUCGCGUCGGAUGUGAAAGCCCGGGGCUUAACCCCGGGUCUGCAUUCGAUACGGGCAGACUAGAGUGUGGUAGGGGAGAUCGGAAUUCCUGGUGUAGCGGUGAAAUGCGCAGAUAUCAGGAGGAACACCGGUGGCGAAGGCGGAUCUCUGGGCCAUUACUGACGCUGAGGAGCGAAAGCGUGGGGAGCGAACAGGAUUAGAUACCCUGGUAGUCCACGCCGUAAACGGUGGGAACUAGGUGUUGGCGACAUUCCACGUCGUCGGUGCCGCAGCUAACGCAUUAAGUUCCCCGCCUGGGGAGUACGG